GUGAGAGGGAGGUCAGACAACUUAUCCAAAACAUGUUUGCAUGUUAUUCAGUUUUUAAUGAAAAAAAAGCCACACACUUGACCCUUAAAUGAAAUACCAAGGGUUAUUGGAUAUCCACGGAUUUUAGAAGGCUUUGUUCCCACACAUGGCUCCAUGAUCAAAGUAAAACUAUUAUGCUGAGACCCUUUAUAAAAUGUACAAUAAGAGAGAUUUGAAUACAUGACAAUGCUUUAAAACCUAUUUUAUUGUUUUGCCUUGUUUAAUCCCUGUAUUUACCUGCAGCAUCUUAGCUUACUUUUUCCGACCUCUUUUUUUAUUUUAGGUGGUAUUGCAUUUUGUUAAAAAAAAAACACUAGAAUUUCUCUCCCAAUCCCACAGCAGGACCAAACAUCCCCAAGUUUAAUAUUUUAAGAGGAGAAACAAUAACCUAUAGGGAUGGCACAUAUUAAUUAAGUGAUGGAACUGGUAGAAUACUUGACUUAGUGCACUUUGUACCCCACUUUUAUAGGUGUUUUACUUUGUAGAAUAAUACAUAACAUAGACAAACAUAAUACAGUUGUACAUAGGCCUACAUUGGAAAUAGUUCAAAUUGACCCACCGUGACAUUGUACGUGAAUGCAUCAUCAAUUAAAAAAUCCAAUAGUAUAAUUCCCUUAUUUCACAAAUGUAACGUCUUUAAAACUUUUUACCCAAAUGUGUAUUUUUUUAUAUACAACCACUUUACAUUUUAGUAUUAAUCAUUUUUACAUUAAAACAUGUUGUAACCUUUUCCUGGACGUAAACAUUGAUUUCUGUGGAGUUUAAAGCAGUCCUACCCGAGAUUGUCAAUUCCUUUAACCCAGAAGCCAAUUCCCGUAAAUCCAAAUCUUUCAGUUUCCCUCUGACUGGUCGAUGGGAGGUUAUAAACACGGAAUUCCCCUGUUUGUAGAACCAUUAAGUCUCCAACAAUACAGCAAGUCCUCCAGAGGCUCAGCGGAGACGGACGGAUGCAGGUCUCUUCGGGUCGGAGCCUGCAGUAAUUAAACACAUCCAUCAGAUCAUGACAGUGUUGUCAGGAACGGCACACCAGGGGAACGGUAACCAUGACAACCGCAAGGAAUCCUUUCACGCCAUCAAUAUAUGAAACUUGCUUCAGAGAGCCAAUCCAUCACAAUGGCAACACACUCUGCUGUGUUCGGUAAUAGGUGGAUGUUUAUUUUUCUUGAAAGAGGCGUCAAACCUUUAUAAACAAUGGUAAGUUCAGCAAAGGGCGGAGUCAGUUAUAAUCCAUGUUACAUCUGCAGCUUAAGUCCUUUUGGAAUUUCAAAUGUGUGGACGAUUCAAAGUGAGUAAACAUUGAGAUUAAGCACCCAUUAAGUCUGCACCUGGAGUAGUAGAAAGAAAUAUUAUAUCUCACUGCUAUCACCUAUUCAUUAUUUAAUUCUUACUUUCAUAAAUAAAUAUCAG